GACUGAAGCUCAGCAGCACUGCAGAGAGAAACACACUGACCUGGCCACAGUGUCUAACAUGGCAGACAUGAAGAGACUCCUCAGUAACUCAGCAGGAAACAUGACAGAAGCUUGGAUCGGUCUGUAUGAUCAUGGUAUCAGAACAUGGUACUGGUCUCUGCCUGGAGUGGAGUUCAAUGAAAGUGAGACAAACUGGAACCCAGGAGAACCAACUGAUAAUGUAAACAGGGAUCCAGAGGAAAAUUGUGGACAUUUGAAUAGAAAUCUCAAAUGGACAGAUACUAGUUGCAAAAACCGAAUACCUUUCCUCUGUUUUGAUGAAACUAAUAGAACCCAGAAAUACCACUUGAUUAAAGAGAAGAAGACCUGGCAGGAAGCUCAGAGUUACUGCAGAGAGAAACACACAGACCUGAUCAGUGGAAUGAAGCAGCUACAGGAUGGAGAACUGGAGGAAGUGAUAAACUCUGUGGUAGUUGGAACAUACAUAUAUACUUUGGUCUGUUCAGAGACACCUGGAGGUGGUCAGAUGGAAGCAGUUUCUCUUUCAGACACUGGAAGAAUGAGUUAAACAAUCAGCAAUCAAACAGUGGUCUAUGUGUCAUGACAGUGUUGGAUGAUGAAGGCAGAUGGAUGAGUGAGAAAUGUACAGUGAAAAAAACCCUACAUCUGUUAUGAAGAUAAAGUGAUCCUGAUUAAAGAAAAUAAAACCUGGGAGAAUGCCUUAAACUACUGCAGAGAUCACUACCAUGACCUGGUCACCAUCACCAGCCUGGAUGAGCAGAGAUGGAUCCAGGAGAAAGCCAAGAAGGCCUCGACUGAUUAUGUCUGGAUUGGACUCCACUACGCCUGCACUCUGGAUUUGUGGUUCUGGGUCAGUGAUGAGGUAGUUAGCUAUAAUAACUGGGCCUCAAAUGGACCUGUUGAUGACUGUGACAUGUCUGGAGCCAUAGAGGCAAGAGAAAAAUAUUGGUGGACAAAAAUAAAUUAUCUUGCAGAGUUUAAUUUCAUCUGUUCUAAGAACUGAAUCUUAAUCUUUCCCUUGUAAGCAGCAGUUUAUUCCUUUUGCCGUUUUGCUGCAUAGCUUUUUAAAAUAAAUUAUUUUAACAU